AUUGAACGCUGGCGGCAUGCCUAACACAUGCAAGUCGAACGGCAGCACGGCAGUAGCAAUACUGUGGGUGGCGAGUGGCGGACGGGUGAGGAAUACGUCGGAAUCUGCCCAGUCGUGGGGGAUAACUAGCCGAAAGGUUAGCUAAUACCGCAUACGACCGAGAGGUGAAAGCGGGGGACCGCAAGGCCUCGCGCGAUUGGAUGAGCCGACGUCGGAUUAGCUAGUUGGUGGGGUAAAGGCCCACCAAGGCGACGAUCCGUAGCUGGUCUGAGAGGAUGAUCAGCCACACUGGAACUGAGACACGGUCCAGACUCCUACGGGAGGCAGCAGUGGGGAAUAUUGGACAAUGGGCGCAAGCCUGAUCCAGCAAUGCCGCGUGUGUGAAGAAGGCCUCGGUUGUAA
rnacentral:rRNA from 1 species